rnacentral:rRNA from 1 species
UACAGAGACUGCAAGCGUUAUUCGGAUUCACUGGGCGUAAAGGGUGCGCAGGCGGCCAAGUGUGUCAGGUGUGAAAUCCCGAGGCUUAACCUCGGAACUGCGCCUGAAACUACUUGGCUAGAGUACUGGAGAGGGUAACGGAAUUCACGGUGUAGCAGUGAAAUGCGUAGAUAUCGUGAGGAACACCAGAGGCGAAGGCGGUACCUGGACAGUUACUGACGCUCAGGCACGAAAGCGUGGGGAGCAAA